rnacentral:rRNA from 1 species
UGGGGGUUAAAUUAAUAAAAUAAAUAAUAAUAAAAAAAUUUUUAAUUAUAUUUAAUGGGGGUUAAAAGUAUAAUUUAAGAAAAAAUUUUUAUAUUUAUAGUUCAAUAGUAUUGUGAAAGAAUUUUGAAAUAUUUUUGAAAAUUUAAUUUUUUAUAAAGUAAAUUUUAAUUGUUGUAUCUUGAGUAUCAGAGUUUAUUAAUAAUUUUUUUUUGUUAAAAAUUUCUCGAAUUUAAAAGAGAUAAUUAAUUAAUAAAGUUAUUGUUUUAUAAAUAUUUUAAAUAAUUAAUUUGAAAUGAAAUGUUAAUCGUUUUUAAAUAUAUCUAGUUUUUUUAGAAAUAAAUUUAAUUUAGAAUUUUUUAUUAUAAGUCCCAAUUAAUUGGGACUUAUAAUAUGAAAAAUUUAAUAUUUUAAGGGAUAAGCUUUAAAUUAAAUUUUUAUAAUAAUUAUUGUUUAUUUUAAAAUUUUUAAAAUUUAUAUUGUUUAUAAAUUAUAUUUUUUAUAAAAAAUUUAUUAAUAAAAAAAUUUUUAAUUAUAAGUUUAAUUUUUUAUAAAAAAAUAAUUUUUAAUAAAUUAAAGUAAGAUAUAAUGAUAAAAUUAGUAUAAAUAUAUAUAUAUAUAUAUAUAUAUAAUUAUUUGAUAAUUAAUAAAAAGGAAUUCGGCAAAUAUUUAUAUUCACUUGUUUAUCAAAAACAUGUCUUUUUGAAUAAUGAUUUAAAGUCUAAUCUGCCCACUGAUUUAAUUAAAGGGCUGCAGUAUUUUGACUGUACAAAGGUAGCAUAAUCAAUAGUCUUUUAAUUGAAGACUUGUAUGAAUGAUUUGAUGAAAUAUAAUCUGUCUCUUUUCUAUAAUUUGAAUUUAAUUUUUUAGUUAAAAAGCUAAGAUUUAAUUAAAAGACGAGAAGACCCUAUAGAGUUUUAUUUUUUUUUAAAUUUAAUUUAUAUAUUAAAAUUAAUAUAUUAAUUUAUUAAAAAAUUUUAUUGGGGUGAUAAAAAAAUCGAAUAAACUUUUUUAUUUUAAUUACAUAAAUUAAUGAUUUUUAGAUCCAUAAUUUAUGAUUAUAAGGAAAAAUUACCUUAGGGAUAACAGCGUAAUUUUUUUUUUUAGUUCAAAUAAGAAAAAAAGUUUGCGACCUCGAUGUUGUAUUAAGAUAAAAUUUAAAUGUAGAAGUUUAAAAUUUUUGAUCUGUUCGAUCAUUAAAAUCUUACAUGAUCUGAGUUCAAACCGGUGUAAGCCAGGUUGGUUUCUAUCUUUAGUAAUUUAAAAUAUUUUA